rnacentral:tRNA from 1 species
GGCCAGUUAGCUCAGUUGAUUGGAGCGUGGUGCUGAUAAAACCAAGGUCGUGGGUUCCAUUCCCAUUCGGUCCC